GACGAACGCUGGCGGCGUGCUUAACACAUGCAAGUCGAGCGGUAAGGCCCUUUCGGGGGUACACGAGCGGCGAACGGGUGAGUAACACGUGGGUGACCUGCCCUCAGCUCUGGGAUAAGCCUGGGAAACCGGGUCUAAUACUGGAUAUGACUCCAUGACGCAUGUUGUGGGGUGGAAAGCCUUGUGCGGCUGAGGAUGGGCCCGCGGCCUAUCAGCUUGUUGGUGGGGUGANGGCCUACCAAGGCGACGACGGGUAGCCGGCCUGAGAGGGCGACCGGCCACACUGGGACUGAGACACGGCCCAGACUCCUACGGGAGGCAGCAGUGGGGAAUCUUGCGCAAUGGGCGAAAGCCUGACGCAGCGACGCCGCGU
rnacentral:rRNA from 1 species